AAACGUAGGACGCGAGCGUUAUCCGGAUUUACUGGGCGUAAAGCGCGUGCAGGCGGCCUGUUAAGUCGUGCGUGAAAGCUCCCUGGCUCAACCGGGAGAGGCCGUACGAAACUAGCAGGCUAGAGGGCAGCAGAGGAGUGUGGAAUUCCGGGUGUAGUGGUGAAAUGCGUAGAUAUCCGGAGGAACACCAGUGGCGAAGGCGGCACUCUGGGCCGUACCUGACGCUAAGACGCGAAAGCGUGGGUAGCGAACGGGAUUAGAAACCCCGGUAGUCCACGCCGUAAACGAUGUGCACUAGGCGUAUGUUCUACGGAAUGGGUGCCGAAGCUAACGCGAUAAGUGCACCGCCUGGGGACUACGGCCGCAAGGCUAAA
rnacentral:rRNA from 1 species